AAUAGAUCAGUUGUCUGUGUGUAUUAUUAUUAUUAUUAUAUAUAAGGAAGAAUUAGGCGAUUAUUGUGACAAAGUUGAAAAAAUAUCAUAACGAUGGCUAUUCUAAGGUCUCAUCAUACUCUUGCUUUUGUUGCUCUUUUCAUAGUUUUCAUGAUGUUCGUUUCUUCUCCUCUCAUGAUAACAAGCUCCCAUGCAGCUCGUUUAUUGAACAAAACAGAUCAUAUUCAACCUCUGUGUUGCGAGUGCUGUGGUUGUUGCUCUACUUCUGAUCAGUUGCCGCCGUGAAUAUGAUUUCAUUUGACUUAUAUUAUUGCUUCAUCAAAUCCAACUCAACAUCACCUAUCUCUAAAUAUAUGUGUGUGUCUGUGUGUGUGAUGUUCUUCAGUAAGAAGCCAGUAGUACUGAGCUCAAUAAAAGCAUAGAAACCUUGUACUGAUGUCCAUUUGAAUGGUUGGAAAGCUUGAAUCGAAUCCCCCCAUUCCGUAUAUGAAUUCAAAUCUAGCUUGUUACUUAUGGUUUAAUUAUUGUGUUUAUAUGUAAUGGUAAUUUGAAGAUUAUUUAUAUUAGAUGUUAAAUUAAUUACAAUUAAAACUAGUAGUGUUUCUUUU